UUUAUUUUGUAUGUUCUUCUGUGAACCGCCCUGAGAUCUAAUGAUGAAGGGCGGUAUAUUAAUGUAACAAAUAAUAAUAAUAAUAAUGCUAGGGUUUUUUAAGUCAACAAACAAAAGGAUAGUUAAACUCCAGGAAAGGUUAACCAAUUUGCCCAAGUGGCCCUUGAAAUUCCAAGUUGGGGAUCCAUUUUCUGCUCAAAGGCCACAUUCCCUCCCUUCUGGGGACAUGCCAGUUGUGGGUAGGGCUGGAAGAAAAGGGGACAGAGUGAAGUUCUGUUUGCCUUGGUACAGUAGGUCACAUUCCUGUGGGAUGUUUAAAGGCAGUCAAACCAACAAUUCAUGUUUUGCCAGAUAGGUGCAUUAAGGGGCUGAGGCUCACAGAGUUUUCCUGUAAGCUUCCUAGAGAGAACCCGAUGAGAACACUCCCCUCGUUGCCCUGACAGGAAGUGAUUGUCACUAUAUAUGCUUCUUCCUGCCUGAGCACAUCCUUUUUCUGCUCUUAUGCACCAUGCUAGCAGUGUGGAAGCAUCUAUGUGUCUGAGCUCCAGGCCCAAACUCCAUUUUAAAGCUGGACUUAAGUAAGUCUUUGUAACCAAAUUAAUGUUUUAAGCCUGUCUGAACACAGCUGCUGUUUCUGUUACUCUUCAAGAAGCAUUGUGAACCCAGAACAGAACUGAACUGAAGGGUUCAGCCAGCCUGCUUAUAUAGAGCUCCACUACAACGCAACAGGAACAACUUUCUGUAGCUAUCCAAUCACUGAACGUCACUUUCAAUCCGUUAUUUGCAUAUGUGGACCUGAGUGAAAACUAUCUACAGUAUCCCCCUGCUGGCCCAGGGUGAGAACUUCAGUACAUAACAGUCUUGAUGCAAUAAACUGGUGGGCUUAUACUGCUUUAUUCAUUGUCCUGUGAUGCUGCCCCACUUCUGCCACAUUACUGCUAUCUGGGCAAAACUAAACCAGAACAUGCACAGUACAAAAAGUUACAGGAUUUCAGCAGGAAGUUAUGCGACCACCCCAGAACUUUUGCAAGGGCAAACAGUGUUGAAAAGGGGGUCUUGUUUGACUGCCUCAAGAGCACCGUGAGCAGAAAUCAACAUGAAUGGGCCGUAAAGAGGAUGUCUGGAGGGGCCCUGGAUCUUCUGUCAGCUUGUGGAAUGGGGAAAGGCAAGUUGGCCAUCUCACCUGCAUCCCAUUUGCAGUGUCGGAUCCAUAAACCGGGGUUUCAAAGGAGAAAAGUCAAAAUAACCUUUCUUCUACAAGCACUCCACAGUGCCCAAUUAUAAUGAGCCCAGAGGCCAAACUCCUAAAGAAAAUAUAUGUAAAUCUGAAGCGCUGAGGCCGUCUGCUGUGUUAUGCCCCCAUGCCAAUAAAUUGGUUUAUUUGUG